rnacentral:rRNA from 1 species
UACAGAGGGUGCAAGCGUUGCUCGGAAUCAUUGGGCGUAAAGGGCAAGUAGGUGGUCUCAUUUGUCUUGUGUGAAAUCCUUGGGCUUAACCCAAGAAGUGCGCAAGAAACGGUGAGACUCGAGUUCUGGAGAGGGUCGUGGAAUUCCCGGUGUAGCGGUGAAAUGCGUAGAUAUUGGGAGGAACACCGGUGGCGAAGGCGGCUCGCUGGACCGGUUCUGACGCUGAGGCGCGAAAGCGUGGGGAGCAAACAGG